CCUACGGGAGGCAGCAGUGGGGAAUCUUCCGCAAUGGGCGAAAGCCUGACGGAGCAACGCCGCUUGAUCGAAUGAAGGCCUUCGGGUUGUAAAGAUCUGUUGACAGGGACGAAUAAGCAAUGCGAAUAGUUUUGUGUAUGACGGUACCUGUUUAGAAAGCUCCGGCUAACUACUUGCCAGCAGCCGCGGUAAUACGUAGGGAGCAAGCGUUGUCCGGAAUUACUGGGCGUAAAGGGCGCGUAGGUGGGCGCGUAAGUCAGGUGUGAAAACUCCGGGCUCAACCUGGAGACUGCACUUGAAACUGGGUGUCUUGAGGGCAGGAGAGGAGAGUGGAAUUCCUAGUGUAGCGGUGAAAUGCGUAGAUAUUAGGAGGAACACCAGUGGCGAAGGCGGCUUACUGGACUGUAACUGACGUUGAGGCUCGAAAGCGUGGGGAGCAAACAGGAUUAGAUACCCGGGUAGUC
rnacentral:rRNA from 1 species